rnacentral:lncRNA from 1 species
CAGAAACCGCGAGCCGUUUCCUUUCUCUUCGGAAAUGGCAGUUUUGUUGUCCUGGAUGAAGGCGAGCGCCGCUGCCUCCCUGAAUGCUGAGCACGCUGGCUUCGCGGUGCCCGGAAGGAAGCCUUUGAAGACCCUGACUCCAGUGUCUCCAGCUGAGAGGCUGAGCUUGCCAGCUCCAUUUCUGACUGCUCAUGGAGCAGAAUCAGUGACCAAGGAGAAAAGGGCUGAGUGAAGAAACAAGUGUGAGUGCCAAGAUGAUGCCAAGGGCUGUGAUUUCCUGGUGGGAAGAAAGAAGGAAUAGAAGCCAAAGGAAGGGGGAUGAAAAGCAAAACCAAGAAUCACAAGGAAUCAAGUUCGGAGAGAAUUUUGGCAGAGAUUUUGAGAGGGGGGCUUUAAGUCAGCCAUGGACAUACUGAAGCAAGAGGAAUGAAGGGAAAAAAGAAAAGGGGGGAAAAAAAGAAGAAGAAUGGGGCCAAGGAGGAUUUAAGACUACCAUUAUAGGUUACAAGUUGAAUUCUUUUUAAUAUUCUUCAAGCAAUGACAGUAAAGAUUCAAAUAACUUUUAAAUUACCUUUGAUUUCUAAACCAAGUUUCUUGGAAUGUGAAAGUCGCCAAGACUGGGCCCUGCAGGGCCUGGGUUGGGCUACUACUGCCUAUGGAGAUUCUGAGGGUAUUAACCUUAAUAAUGGCAU